UGGGGAAUUUUGGACAAUGGGCGCGAGCCUGAUCCAGCAAUGCCGCGUGCAGGAUGAAGGCCUUCGGGUUGUAAACUGCUUUUGUACGGAACGAAAAGCCUCUCUCUAAUACAGGGGGUGAUGACGGUACCGUAAGAAUAAGCACCGGCUAACUACGUGCCAGCAGCCGCGGUAAUACGUAGGGUGCAAGCGUUAAUCGGAAUUACUGGGCGUAAAGCGUGCGCAGGCGGUUUUGUAAGACAGUGGUGAAAUCCCGGGCUCAACCUGGGAACUGCCAUUGUGACUGCAAGGCUGGAGUGCGGCAGAGGGGGAUGGAAUUCCGCGUGUAGCAGUGAAAUGCGUAGAUAUGCGGAGGAACACCGAUGGCGAAGGCAAUCCCCUGGGGCCUGCACUGACGCUCAUGCACGAAAGCGUGGGGAGCAAAACAGGAUUAGAUACCCCUGGUAGUCCACGCCCUAAAACGAUGUCAACUGGUUGUUGGGGAUUUAUUUCUUCAGUAACGAAGCUAACGCGUGAAGUUGACCGCCUGGGGGAGUACGGCCGCAAGGUUAAAAACUUAAAAUGAAUUGACGGGGUCAUAGCUGUUUCCU
rnacentral:rRNA from 1 species